rnacentral:rRNA from 1 species
ACCAAGGCGAAGACGGGUAGGGGGUGUGAGAGCACGGCCCCCCACAAUGGGACUGAGACACGGCCCAUACUCUUACGGGAGGCAGCAGCAGGGAAUAUUGCACAAUGGACGAAAGUCUGAUGCAGCGACGCUGCGUGAAUGAAGAAGGCCUUCGGGUUGUAAAAUUCUUUUCGGGGGGAAGAGGCAGGACGGUACCCUCGGAAUAAGCGUCGGCUAACUACGUGCCAGCAGCCGCGGUAAGACGUAGGACGCAAGCGUUAUCCGGAUUUACUGGGCGUAAAGCGUCUGUAGGCGGAAAGACAAGUUGGGCAAAAGCUCCGGGCUCAACCCGGAGAGUGCGUUCAAUACUGUCUAUCUAGAGGAGGUCAGAGGGGAGUGGAAUUUCAGGUGUAGCGGUAAAAUGCGCAGAUAUCUGAAGGAACACCAGUGGCGAAGGCGGCUCCCUGGGGCCCACCUGACGCUGAGAGACGAAAGCUAGGGGAGCGAACAGGAUUAGAGACCCUGGUAGUCCUAGCCAUAAACGAUGGAUGCUAGGUGUGGGACCGAGAAGGUUCUGUGCCGGAGCAAACGCGAUAAGCAUCCCGCCUGGGGAGUACGACCGCAAGGUUAAAACUCAAACGAAUUGACGGGGCCCCGCACAAGCAGCGGAGCGUGUGGUUUAAUUCGAUUUUACACGAAGAACCUUACCUGGGAUUGACAUGCAGAUGGUAGUGAAGCGAAAGCGGAACGACCCUUCGGGGAGUCUGCACAGGUGCUGCAUGGCUGUCGUCAGCUCGUGCCGUGAGGUGUCGGGUUAAGUCCCGUAACGAGCGCAACCCUUGCCCGCCGUUAUACGUGUCAGCGGGGACUGCCGGCGGUAAGCCGGAGGAAGGUGGGGAUGACGUCAAGUCAGCAUGGCCUUUAUAUCCAGGGCUACACACACGCUACAAUGGUCGGUACAAAGGGCAGCGAAACCGCGAGGUGAAGCGAAUCUCAAAAAGCCGGUCGUAGUUCGAAUUGCAGGCUGCAACUCGCCUGCAUGAAGCUGGAGUUGCUAGUAACCGCGCGUCAGCUAUAGUGCGGUGAAUACGUUCCCGGGGCUUGUACACACCGCCCGUCACGUCAUGGAAGUUGGUAACGCCUGAAGCCGGUAGCUUAGCCCGCAAGGGGGAGCGCUGUCGAAGGCGGGACUGGCAACUGGGACGAAGUCGUAACAAGGUAGCGGUACCGGAGGGUGCGGCUG